GGGGAUUUAGCUCAGUGGUAGAGCGCUUGCCUAGCAAGCGAAAGGCACUGGGUUCGGUCCCCAGCUCCG
rfam:Rattus norvegicus chromosome 8, whole genome shotgun sequence.